rnacentral:rRNA from 1 species
UCCCAGACUCCUACGGGAGGCAGCAGUGAGGAAUAUUGGUCAAUGGGCGGAAGCCUGAACCAGCCAAGUCGCGUGAGGGAAGAAGGCCCUGCGGGUCGCAGACCUCUUUGGACGGGGAGCAAGGCCGCCGACGUGUCGGCGGAAGGAGAGUACCCGUAGAACAAGCAUCGGCUAACUCCGUGCCAGCAGCCGCGGUAAUACGGAGGAUGCGAGCGUUAUCCGGAUUUAUUGGGUUUAAAGGGUGCGUAGGCGGGAUGCCAAGUCAGCGGUCAAAUGCGGGGGCUCAACCUGCGUCCGCCGUUGAAACUGGCGUUCUUGAGUGGGCGAGAAGUACGCGGAAUGCGUGGUGUAGCGGUGAAAUGCAUAGAUAUCACGCAGAACCCCGAUUGCGAAGGCAGCGUACCGGCGCCCGACUGACGCUGAAGCACGAAAGCGUGGGUAUCGAACAGGAUUAGAUACCCGCGUAC